CGCAUCGUUGGGUCAAGAGAAGUUCCGAUUGAAGUUCAAUAUGAAUCUUUUGGGACUUAUCAUGAGAUUUAUGCCCACUAUCUAGUAGUGGGAAAUAGAAAAAAAGAAAUCCGUUCUAUAUACAUUCGAACCACUCUUGGUCAUAUUUCUUUUUAUAGAGAAAUAUAGGAAGCCAUACAAGGAUUUAGUCAGGCCUAUUCAUACACUAUCUAAACAAGGAAGUUAGAUUCGGCGAUGCCCCUUUCGGGGGGCAUUCCGAUUUCGCUAGUACCAUCUUUUUUGCCGCGCAAAUCCAGAUUGAGAUUGAGGAAAGGGAGUAAAUUAAGUUUUUGAAUCACUGACUCAGGCCCAUUGUCGAAUCCUACUCAGCAAUUGUCGAAUCCUACUCAGCCAAAAAAAGGGGGUACUUAUGUAUGGCAGAACGGGCCAACCUGGUCUUUCAUAAUAAAGAGAUAGACGGAACUGCUAUGAAACGACUUAUUAGCAGAUUAAUAGAUCAUUUCGGAAUGGGAUAUACAUCCCAUAUACUGGAUCAAAUAAAGACUCUGGGCUUCCAUGAAGCCACUACUACAUCGAUUUCUUUAGGAAUCGAGGAUCUUUUAACAAUACCCUCUAAAUGAUGGUUAGUCCAAGACGCGGAACAACAGAGUUUUCUUUUGGAGAAACACUAUUAUUAUGGAGCUAUACACGCGGUAGAAAAAUUACGCCAAUCCGUUGAGAUAUGGUAUGCUACAAGUGAAUAUUUGUAACAAGAAAUGAAUUCGAAUUUUCGAAUAACGGAUCCUUCUAAUCCAGUCUAUCUAAUGUCUUUUUCAGGAGCCAGAGGAAAUGCAGCUCAGGUACACCAAUUAGUAGGUAUGAGAGGGUUAAUGGCGGAUCCUCAAGGACAAAUGAUUGAUUUACCUAUUCAAAGCAAUUUACGCGAGGGACUUUCUUUGACAGAAUAUAUAAUUUCCUGCUACGGAGCCCGAAAAGGGGUUGUAGAUACUGCUGUACGAACAGCGGAUGCUGGCUAUCUUACACGUAGACUUGUUGAAGUAGUUCAACAUAUUAUUGUGCGUAGAAGAGAUUGUGGUACUAUCCAAGGUAUUUCUGUGAGUCCUCAAAAUGGGAUGACGGAAAAACUUUUUGUCCAAACACUAAUUGGUCGUGUAUUAGCAAUGAUGAAAAGACUAUUUAGCAAAGGAUUGACUCGAAAUCAAGAUAUUGGAAUUGGAUUAGUCAAUCGAUUCAUAACUGCCUUUCGAGCACAACCGUUUCGAGCACAACCAAUAUAUAUUAGAACCCCCUUUACUUGCCGGAGCACAUCUUGGAUCUGUCAAUUAUGUUAUGGGCGGAGUCCCACUCAUGGGGAUCUGGUCGAAUUGGGGGAAGCUGUAGGUAUUAUUGCGGGUCAAUCAAUUGGGGAGUCGGGGACUCAAUUAACAUUAAGAACUUUUCAUACUGGUGGAGUAUUCACAGGGGGUACUGCCGACCUUAUACGAUCCCCCUCGAAUGGAAAAAUCCAAUUCAAUGAGGAUUUGGUUCACCCCACACGUACCCGUCAUGGGCAGCCUGCUUUUCUAUGCUAUAUAGACUUGCAUGUAACUAUUCAGAGUCAGGAUAUUCUACAUAGUGUGAAUAUUCCGUUAAAAAGCUUGAUUCUAGUGCAAAAUGAUCAAUAUGUAGAAUCUGAACAAGUAAUUGCGGAGAUUCGUGCCGGAACGUCCACUUUGCAUUUUAAAGAAAAGGUACAAAAGCAUAUUUAUUCCGAAUCAGACGGGGAAAUGCACUGGAGUACUGAUGUUUACCAUGCGCCCGAAUAUCAAUAUGGUAAUCUUCGUCGAUUACCAAAAACAAGCCAUUUAUGGAUAUUGUCAGUAAGUAUGUGCAGAUCCAGUAUAGCAUCUUUUUCGCUGCACAAGGAUCAAGAUCAAAUGAAUACUUAUUCUUUUUCUGUUGAUGGAAGAUAUAUCUUUGACUUCUCAAUGGCUAAUGAUCAAGUAAGCCAUAGACUGUUGGAUACUUUUGGUAAAAAAGAUAGAGAAAUUCUUGAUUAUUUAACGCCAGAUCGAAUCAUGUUCAACGGUCAUUGGAAUUGUUUCUAUCCUUCCAUUCUUCAAGAUAAUUCAGAUUUGUUGGUGAAAAAGCGAAGAAAUAGGCUCGUCGUUCCAUUACAAUAUCAUCAAGAACAAGAAAAAGAGCGAAUAUCCUGUUUGGGUAUUUCAAUGGAAAUACCCUUUAUGGGCGUUUUACGUAGAAAUACUAUUUUUGCUUAUUUUGACGAUCCACGAUACAGAAAAGAUAAAAGGGGUUCAGGAAUUGUUAAAUUUAGAUAUAGGACCCUAGAGGAAGAAUAUCGGACCCAAGAGGAAGAGUAUAGGACUCGAGAGGAAGAAUAUCGGACUCGAGAGGAAGACUCAGAAGACGAAUAUGAGAGCCCAGAGAACAAAUAUAGGACCCGAGAGGGAGAGGGCGAAUAUAAAAUCCUAGAAGACGAAUAUAGGACUCUAGAGGACGAAUAUGAAACCCUAGAAGAUGAAUAUGGGAUCCUAGAGGACGAAUAUAGGACUCUAGAGAAAGACUCAGAGGAAGAAUAUGGGAGCCUAGAGAACAAAUAUAGGACUCGAGAGGGAGAGGGCGAAUAUGAAAUCCUAGAGGAAGAAUCAGAAGAAGAAUAUGGGAGCUCUGAAGAUGGCUCAGAGAAGGAAUAUGGGACUUUAGAAGAAGACUCAGAAGAAGACUCAGAGGAAGACUCAGAAGACGAAUAUGGGAGCCCGGAGGAAGAUUCUAUCUUAAAAAAAGAGGGUUUUAUUGAGCAUCGAGGAAUAAAAGAAUUUAGUCUAAAAUACCAAAAAGAAGUAGAUCGGUUUUUUUUCAUUCUUCAAGAACUGCAUAUCUUGCCGAGAUCCUCAUCCCUAAAGGUACUUGACAAUAGUAUUAUUGGAGUCGAUACACAACUCACAAAAAAUACAAGAAGUCGACUAGGUGGAUUGGUCCGAGUGAAGAUAAAAAAAAGCCAUACAGAACUCAAAACCUUUUCCAGAGAUAUUCAUUUUCCUGAAGAGGCGGAUAAGAUAUUAGGUGGCAGUUUGAUACCACCAGAAAGAGAAAAAAAGAUUCUAAGGAAUAAAAAAAGGAAAAAUUGGGUUUAUGUUCAACGGAAAAUAUUUCUCAAAAGCAAGGAAAAGUAUUUUGUUUCGGUUCGACCUGCAGUCGCAUAUGAAAUGGACGAAGGGAUAAAUUUAGCAACACUUUUCCCGCAGGAUCUCCUGCAAGAAGAGGAUAAUCUCCAACUUCGACUUGUCAAUUUUAUUUCUCAUGAAAAUAGCAAGUUAACUCAAAGAAUUUAUCACACGAAUAGUCAAUUCGUUCGAACUUGCUUAGUAGUGAAUUGGGAACAAGAAGAAAAAGAGGGAGCUCGUGCUUCUCUUGUUGAGGUAAGAACAAAUGAUCUAAUUCACGAUUUCCUAAGAAUUGAGUUAGUCAAGUCUACUAUUUUGUAUACACGAAGAAGGUAUGAUAGGACAAGUGUAGGAUUGAUUCCCAAUAAUAGGUUAGAUCGCAACAAUACCAAUUCCUUUUAUUCCAAGGCGAAGAUUCAAUCACUUAGCCAACAUCAAGAAGUUAUUGGCACCUUGUUGAAUCGAAAUAAAGAAUAUCCAUCUUUGAUGAUUUUGUUGGCAUCCAACUGUUCUCGAAUUGGUUUAUUCAAGAAUUCUAAAUAUCCCAAUGCGGUAAAAGAAUCGAAUCCUAGAAUUCCUAUUCGAGAUAUUUUUGGGCUCUUAGGCGUUAUUGUACCUAGUAUAUCGAAUUUUUCUUCAUCUUACUAUUUAUUAACGCAUAAUCAGAUCUUGUUAAAAAAAUACUUGUUCCUUGACAAUUUGAAACAAACCUUACAAGUACUUCAAGGACUUAAAUACUCUUUAAUAGACGAAAAUAAAAGGAUUUCGAAUUUUGACAGUAACAUCAUGUUGGAGCCAUUCCAUUUGAAUUGGCACUUUCUCCAUCAUGACUCAUGGGAAGAGACAUUGGCAAUAAUUCACCUUGGACAAUUUAUUUGUGAAAAUUUAUGUCUAUUUAAAUUACACAUAAAAAAAUCUGGUCAAAUUUUCAUUGUUAAUAUGGACUCCUUUGUUCUAAGAGCAGCUAAGCCUUAUUUGGCCACUAUAGGAGCAACUGUUCAUGGUCAUUAUGGAAAAAUCCUUUACAAAGGAGAUAGGUUAGUUACGUUUAUAUAUGAAAAAUUGAGAUCCAGUGAUAUAACGCAAGGUCUUCCAAAAGUAGAACAAAUCUUCGAAGCGCGUUCAAUUGAUUCACUAUCGCCGAAUCUCGAAAGGAGAAUUGAGGAUUGGAAUGAACGUAUACCAAGAAUUCUUGGGGUUCCCUGGGGAUUCUUGAUUGGAGCUGAGCUAACCAUAGCCCAAAGUCGUAUCUCUUUGGUUAAUAAGAUCCAAAAGGUUUAUCGAUCCCAAGGGGUACAGAUCCAUAAUAGACAUAUAGAGAUUAUUAUACGCCAAGUAACAUCAAAAGUAAGGGUUUCCGAAGAUGGAAUGUCUAAUGUUUUUUUACCUGGGGAAUUAAUAGGACUAUUGCGAGCGGAACGAGCAGGGCGGGCUUUAGAUGAAUCGAUCUAUUAUCGGGCAAUCUUAUUGGGAAUAACAAGGGCUUCCCUGAAUACCCAAAGUUUCAUAUCUGAAGCAAGUUUUCAAGAAACUGCUCGAGUUUUAGCAAAAGCUGCCCUACGCGGUCGUAUUGAUUGGUUGAAAGGUCUGAAAGAAAAUGUAGUUCUGGGGGGGAUUAUACCUGUUGGUACCGGAUUCCAAAAAUUUGUGCAUCGUUCCCCACAAGACAAGAACCUUUAUUUAGAAAUUCAAAAAAAAUCUAUUCGCGUCGGAAAUGAGAGAUAUUUUGUUUCUCCAUACAGAAUUAGUUUCUUCUGAUUCUGACGUAACAAACAAUUUCUAUGAAACAUCAGAGACCCCGUUUACCCCUAUUUAUACGAUUUAAGUAUACAUAAAGCAAUUUUUUUACUUUAAUUUAAACUAUACUUUUGACCUUAGAAUGCUAACAGAUCUGAUUUUCGAUUUUGUACUUAAAUUUAAAUUGUAUUUUAAUAAGUAAAAGAAGUCAGUUAAUUCAUUAAGGCUAUGUUUAUACCGUGUAUCAAUGGUCAAGAAGGUUCCAUUGGAACAAUUAUUAUUUAUUUCAAGCUAUUUCGGCUCUUUCUUAAUCUUCAAAAAGAAAUGAAUUCCGUAAUGGUAACACAAAAAA